GAUGAACGCUAGCGGCAGGCUUAACACAUGCAGGUCGAGGGGUAGAGGAAGCUGCUUCCUUGGGACCGGCGCACGGGUGCGUAACGCGUAUGCAAUCUGCCUUGUACAGGGGGAUAGACCAGAGAAAUUUGGAUUAAUACCCCAUAGUGUAAUUGAAUGGCAUCAUUUGAUUACUAAAGUUCCAACGGUACAAGAUGAGCAUGCGUCCUAUUAGCUAGUUGGUGUGGUAACGGCAUACCAAGGCGACGAUAGGUAGGGGUCCUGAGAGGGAGAUCCCCCACACUGGUACUGAGACACGGACCAGACUCCUACGGGAGGCAGCAGUGAGGAAUAUUGGUCAAUGGGCGCAAGCCUGAACCAGCCAUGCCGCGUGCAGGAAGAAGCAUCUAUGGUGUGUAAACUGCUUUUGUACGGGAAGAAACACUCCUACGUGUAGGAACUUGACGGUACCGUAAGAAUAAGGAUCGGCUAACUCCGUGCCAGCCGCCGCCGUAA
rnacentral:rRNA from 1 species